UACGUAGGGCGCAAGCGUUGUCCGGAAUUAUUGGGCGUAAAGAGCUCGUAGGCGGUCUGUCGCGUCUGCCGUGAAAACCCGAGGCUUAACCUCGGGCUGGCGGUGGAUACGGGCAGACUAGAGGUAGGUAGGGGAGAAUGGAAUUCCCGGUGUAGCGGUGAAAUGCGCAGAUAUCGGGAGGAACACCGGUGGCGAAGGCGGUUCUCUGGGCCUUACCUGACGCUGAGGAGCGAAGCGUGGGGAGCGAACAGG
rnacentral:rRNA from 1 species